UUAUUUAUAAUUGUAUAUGUGUGUGUGUUGACAGGUGUCGGUUGGCCUCCUAGCCGGGUGUGCAAAUGUAGGCUGAUUUCUGUUUUUGUUUAUUUGUAGAGGUAAUACGUCCAGAGUGUACUGGCAGAGGUGUAUGGCCAGCAUUGCACCGGUUAAGCAUGUGUGGGAGUUUGAUAUGGAGCGCCAAGGUGCUGAAUGUUACUCAAUAAAGUAUUCAUGUGGCACUUGGUGACUGUAUCUACCCGAUCCAUACAAUUCAGCACCUGCUACCCAUGGUUGAGGGAACUUUGAUUGGACAUUCUACACAUCCCUGCUAGUCAAGAUGGAUCGAGCCAAGACAGUGCGUACAUCGGAGAGGAGGAAAUUCAACCGAACCCUGAAACUGUUCGACGAGAGUGUGAAGCAAGACGACUCGACAGAGAUUUUGAAGCCUGCAUUUGAUGAGAGGUAAUACGUCCAGAGUGUACUGGCAGAGGUGUAUGGCCAGCAUUGCACCGGUUAAGCAUGUGUGGGAGUUUGAUAUGGAGCGCCAAGGUGUAAGUUACUGUAUUGAUUAAUCAUAUGUACUUAUAUUUAUGAUGAAUUUGGCAAUGUUAUAGUGGGAUAUACUGUAUGUUUGUAUUUGUAAUGGAGUUAGUGUUAUUGCUGUGUUGGGUACAAUGGACUGCUUACAUUUUAUAUUUGAUUUUACGAAUAUUGCUGUGUUGUUUUGCAUAUUUUAUUAGGAUUACAUUUUAAGUGUCUGUUUACAAUUUGGAGGUUUGUUUUAAUUUGGAAACUUGUUUACAGGCUGAAUGUUACUCAAUAAAGUAUUCAUGUGGCA